UACGUAGGGUGCGAGCGUUGUCCGGAAUUAUUGGGCGUAAAGAGCUUGUAGGCGGUUUGUCGCGUCUGCUGUGAAAAUCCGGGGCUCAACCCCGGGCCUGCAGCCGAUACGGGCAAGCUAGAGUUCGGUAGGGGAGACUGGAAUUCCUGGUGUAGCGGUGAAAUGCGCAGAUAUCAGGAGGAACACCGGUGGCGAAGGCGGGUCUCUGGGCCGAUACUGACGCUGAGGAGCGAAAGCGUGGGGAGCGAACAGG
rnacentral:rRNA from 1 species